rnacentral:misc_RNA from 1 species
GCCCUCUCGAUCAAACGUUGGAGUGCAACAACACUGUUUGGGAUGUGAUCGAGCAUUUUGUGCUGCUUAUUGGCCUUCUCAGGGAGUUAAUGGAAGCAACUCGCAUCCACUCUGCAGUCCUGAAACAUUCAAGCCUAUUGCAGAACAUACAGUUUCUAGAAUCCCCUCCUUGGCACAUGAGAAGAAUCAUUAUGAACAAAAUAUCACUGAAAGAUGCAUUAGACAGAUGGGAAGGUCAUU